rnacentral:rRNA from 1 species
UAAUCCUACGGGGGGCAGCAGUGAGGAAUAUUGGUCAAUGGGCGCAAGCCUGAACCAGCCAAGUCGCGUGAGGGAUGACGGUCCUAUGGAUUGUAAACCUCUUUUGUCGGGGAGCAAGGCCCGCCACGUGUGGCGGGAAGGAGAGUACCCGAAGAAAAAGCAUCGGCUAACUCCGUGCCAGCAGCCGCGGUAAUACGUAGGGAGCAAGCGUUGUCCGGAAUUACUGGGCGUAAAGGGCGCGUAGGUGGGCGCUUAAGUCAGGUGUGAAAACUCCGGGCUCAACCUGGAGACUGCACUUGAAACUG